GAAUGUCUUCAGGGCAGGGUGAAAUUCCCGACCGGCGGUAAGCGUAAGCGAGCCCGCGACCCGCAGAUGCGGUGGACUUGGUGAGAUUCCAAGGCCGACAGUAAAGUCUGGAUGGAAGAAGAUUUAU
rnacentral:ncRNA from 2 species